rnacentral:misc_RNA from 1 species
GAUGAAGAACGCAGCGAAAUGCGAUAAGUAAUGUGAAUUGCAGAAUUCAGUGAAUCAUCGAAUCUUUGAACGCACAUUGCGCCCCCUGGUAUUCCGGGGGCAUGCCUGUUCGAGCGUCAUUUCACCACUCAAGCCUCGCUUGGUAUUGGGCAACGCGGUCCGCCGCGUGCCUCAAAUCGACCGGCUGGGUCUUCUGUCCCCUAAGCGUUGUGGAAACUAUUCGCUAAAGGGUGUUCGGGAGGCUACGCCGUAAAACAACCCCAUUUCUAAGGUUGACCUCGGAUCAGGUAGGGAUACCCGCUGAACUUAAGCAUAUCAAUAAGCGGAGGA